ACAGGGGAAGUUUUUUAAAUUUAAUAAUUGAAGUUAUUUUAAUUUGUGAAGAAACAAUUAUAUAAAUUAAAGACAAGAAGACCCUAAGAAUUUAAGAAUUUUUAUUAAUAUAUUAUAUGUAUAUAUAUAAAUAAAAUUCUUAGUUGGGGCAACUAAAAAAUAUAUUAAACUUUUUUUUUAAAAAAAUGACCCAUUAUUAAUGAUAAUAUGAAAAAAA
rnacentral:rRNA from 1 species